GUCUGCUAUCUCCUGUCUUAGAAAGAAAGACACCGAUAUAUCCUCUCAGAAGCUAAGCAGUGUCGGGCUUGGUUAGUACUUGGAUGGGAGACCACCUAGGAAGACCAAGUGCUAUAGGCA
rnacentral:rRNA from 1 species